UACAGAGGGUGCAAGCGUUAAUCGGAAUUACUGGGCGUAAAGCGUGUGUAGGUGGUUGGAUAAGUUAGAUGUGAAAUCCCCGGGCUCAACCUGGGAACUGCGUUUAAGACUGUUUAACUAGAGUACUGUAGAGGAUAGUGGAAUUUCCAGUGUAGCGGUGAAAUGCGUAGAUAUUGGAAGGAACACCAGUGGCGAAGGCGACUAUCUGGAUAGAUACUGACACUGAGACACGAAAGCGUGGGGAGCAAACAGG
rnacentral:rRNA from 1 species